AGUGAACGCUGGCGGUAGGCCUAACACAUGCAAGUCGAACGGCAGCACAGUAAGAGCCUGCUCUUACGGGUGGCGAGUGGCGGACGGGUGAGGAAUACAUCGGAAUCUACUUUUUCGUGGGGGAUAACGUAGGGAAACUUACGCUAAUACCGCAUACGACCUACGGGUGAAAGCAGGGGAUCUUCGGACCUUGCGCGAUUGAAUGAGCCGAUGUCGGAUUAGCUAGUUGGCGGGGUAAAGGCCCACCAAGGCGACGAUCCGUAGCUGGUCUGAGAGGAUGAUCAGCCACACUGGAACUGAGACGCGGUCCAGACUCCUACGGGAGGCAGCAGUGGGGAAUAUUGGACAAUGGGCGCAAGCCUGAUCCAGCCAUACCGCGUGGGUGAAGAAGGCCUUCGGGUUGUAAAGCCCUUUUGUUGGGAAAGAAAAGCAGCAGGUUAAUACCCCGCUGUUCUGACGGUACCCAAAGAAUAAGCACCGGCUAACUUCGUG
rnacentral:rRNA from 1 species